GCCGCACCAUCCCCAGCCGCACCGUGGCCAUCAGCGACGCUGCACAGUUACCUCAUGACUACUGCACCACACAGGGUUGCGGGGGAGGGGGGGCACUCUUCUCACCACACGGGGAGGAACUCAAAUCUUUUAUGAUAGAAAGUUUCUGUUGGAUUAUUGCAAUUCUCCCAUGGUUCAGACCCCACCCUGCCAUCUACCAAAUAUCCCAGAAGUCACUAGCCCUGGCACCUUAAUCGAAGACUCCAGAGUAGAAGUAAACAAUUUGAACAACAUAAACAAUCAUGAGAGGAAACACGCAGUUGGGGAUGAUGCUCAGUUUGAGAUGGGCAUCUGA
rnacentral:lncRNA from 1 species